AGCAGUAAAAACUGAAUUUUAAUUAUCUACUGGAAAUUCCUCCAGAAUAAAGGGUCUGGUUCAGUUUCUAUAUUGACUCUAUGGGUUCCAGUCUGUGAAAUGCCAAGGGUUGGACUGACUAGAAGUCUCCAGAUUACCUCUCUCUUCUUUCCACCCCUACUGCUUCUUGCCUACCAUAUGCCAUAGUGCCGGCCGGCAAAAUGUACCUGUUUAAUUCUCUAGGUUAGAAAAAAUUCCCUAGAUUUUUCUCCUUGUCUUUCUAUGUCCAAAUGCUACCUACUUUUUAAAACAAAGACAACAGGCCAGGCAUGGUGGCUCACGCCUGUAAUCCUAACACUUUGGGAGGCCAAGUCGGAUGGAUAACUUGAAGCCAUGAGUUUAAGACCAGCAUGGCCAACAUGGUGAAACCCGUCUCUACUAAAAAUACAAAAAUUAGCUGCGCGUGGUGGUGCACUCCUGUAAUCCCAACUACUUGGGAGGCUGAGGCAGGAGAAUCACUUGAACCCGGGAGGCGGAAGUUGCAGUGAGCCGAUAUCGCACCACUGGACUGCAGCCUGGACAACAGAGUGAGGCUGUCUCAAACAAUAAAUAAAUAAAUAAAUAAAUAAAAUAAAUUAAAACAAAACAAAACACAGACAACAUACCUCCUUCAUCAUGAAGCCUCCUUUAAUUCUUACAAACAAACAAAACCUUCCUAAACUUUCAAAGGGCGUUUAAGAAUACAUACUAGUGUUUCAUUAAUCUUUAAGGAGAAUUUAGUGCAUGCUAGGUUCUGGGUUAAGCAUUUUACAUUUAUUAACAUAUGUAGGUAGAUACAACUUUUACUUCAAUUUUGCAUUUGAGCAGAAAGGUGCAAAGAUGAUAAAGUGACUUGCUCAAGGACAUGGGUAAAUGGCUGAGCCACUUAUUUGCUGUAUUAAUAGAGAUGAUGUCCUUCAUCCUUUACUGAUGUUUUUACCAUGUCUUAUCCAUACCUCGUUAAGUCUUUACAUUUUACCCAUUUAUCAGCUAAUUUAUCUCAAGAACAUUCUAGUGAUGUGGCUAUUACCAUUUUCUUCAUUUUAUCAAUUUUUUCCUCUGUUUUCAGGCUAUAACAAAAUAUAAUAAACUGGGUACCUUAGAAGCAACGGAAAUUGAUUUCUCAUCGUUCUAGAAGCUAGGAAGUUCACGAUCAAGGUAGCAGCAGAGUUGGUGCCUGAUCUUUACCAUGCUGGAUUGGAAGAGAAAAGACCAUCACUAAAGCAAAUGGAUCAAAUGGAGUUAUAAAUCAACUCUGUACUCUACAGGAUUGACUCAACUGCAGACAUCUCCAAUACACUCCCUCAUGGCUUUAUUUUUUCUGCUUAUGUGGAAAAAUAACAGUAAAUACAGUUAACUAUCCCAAGACAGAAGAGUAUUAUUAAAAAAGAAUACAACGUUAUUGAUUUUUCAAGACAUAAUCAGAUAUUUUUAAACUCUGAUUUAAUAA
rnacentral:lncRNA from 1 species